GGACUACCGGGGUAUCUAAUCCUGUUUGCUCCCCACGCUUUCGUGCCUCAGCGUCAGUUGCGCACCAGUGACCUGCCUUCGCCGUUGGCCUUCCGAGUGAUCUCUACGCAUUUCACCGCUACACCACUCGUUCCGGUCACCCCUCACGCACUCCAGCUCGCCAGUAUCAGAGGCCAUUUUCCGGUUGGGCCGAAAACUUUCACCCCUGACUUAACAAGCCGCCUACGCACCCUUUAUGCCCAGUGAUUCCGAACAACGCUCGCCCCACAUGUCUUACCGCGGCUGCUGGCAC
rnacentral:rRNA from 1 species